CAGGCACGUGGAACUGUUUCAGGCAAGAGGCAAGGCUUCAGUAACAGGGAGCGGCUUCAGGCACAGGGAACGUCUUCAGGCACGGGGCGCACCUUCAACCAUGGGGUUUGUCUUCAGGCACUGGGAGCACCUUCAGGCUUGCAUCUUCCCUCUACCUCUAUACUCCAAGUUCCUGGCUGGCACUGGAGUUACAUCCUUAGCACGGACAUCAUAACCUCCACGUGAGGGUCCCACGACAUCACCUCAUCGAUGCAGUCGAUGGUUUGUUCCAGAUUCAGGCUAGUUUCCGGGAAGAAACCCUGACAGAAAUUCAGAAGAACGGGAGCUGCAUUCCGUUAGGACAUGAAUACAUGAAAUUCUCUUCCUGGGAACUCCUAGAAGUAUGAGCUAGGACCCAUUUUCCAAGUUCUGCUGAAACCAGUGACCGAGUCUAUGCAAGUCAGAAUCAACCUCCAACCGCCUCCAUCCUUUAUGAGACCUAAGACGUGAUGCAGCUCCAAUGGGAAAUAUCAGUUGUGUCUCUACCAAGGAUGCAGAAAAAGACAAGAUUCAGGCUUGUUUCCGGGAAGAAACCCUGACAGAAAUUCAGAAGAAUGGUAGCUACAUUCCAUUAGGAAUUGACUACACGAAAUGUUCGUCUCAGGACCUUCUAGAAGAAUGAGCUGGGACCCACUUUCCGAGUCCUGCUGGAAGCAGAGACCGAGGUGUGGAGUUUGUUCUGCCAGUCUUUGAAUUGCUCUCUGCUUCAUGGACUUGGAUGUGGAUGUUAUGCAGUUGAAAACAUGGGACAGGAUAUUGCCCAGGUGGCUGAAGGCCUGCACUAGGGUACCUACCUCCUUUUCGGAUAGACUGUAUUCCCUUUCCAUGUUUUAGCUGUACCUGUGACACAGGACACGAGAGAACGUGCUCAUGUGAACACAAGUGAAGGACACCGUGGGGACUUGCCACACAGGAAUACAUUGGAAAAGCCCUAUGAUCCCCACCUUUAGGCACGCUUAGCUGCUCAAGUUACCACAAACAGAUGCCAGCUGGAAAACAGGGAAGCCCAUAGACUCGGCGGUAAAGGUUUUGCAUUUGGGAAAAAAACAAAAACAACAGACAGACCAUACUUCACACAAACCAGAGACAAUGGCAAGAGAGUGUCCUGUACAGAAAGAUGUGGCUGUCCGUAAAGACUUAGAACUGAAAAUGGCCACAGCAUUUACUUUGUGCUUCUCGGCAGUUUUGGCAGAGCCAGUGUCGAUGUCACUCUUGGUUGUGACAUCUACUUCUGGACCUGCAAAAAAUCCUGGAAGGGAUGGAGGUUUAUUCUGAUUUGAGUCCACUGUUUGGAGAUCAAAAACAAAAGACCCUCCCCUGAUACUUCCGACAACUUAAACUCUUUGCCCCAGUGAGAUCCCAAAUUACAUGCACAGGGUGUCCCAUAUGCCUCCAGUGAUCCCCAAGAAGAACUUGAAGAACCAUCCCUUAUGACAUGAUGAAGACUCAUAAAAGCCCUGAUUCAGAUGUAUUCAUCACUCAUCGAACAACUAUGGAUGGCUGGGGGCACAACUAGAUGCACAUACGUUAUGUUGUGCCUCAUGCCUCACAGAUCCCAGCACGUGGACUGUGUACAGGGCAUUUCUGCUGAAACGCUAUGUCUAGUUUUCUGCAUACAGCCCCAUUCCUUCUCUAAAAGAGACGCCUGUACCAACCCAUGGUGAGGGAAAGGACAAAGAUGAGAUCCUGAGCAACUUGAGGAAUGUGGUAAUGGCAGCAGACACAUUCCCCUUGCAUCACAAUGGUCUGUGGUACCACCUCUGCACCUUGGCCCAAGACCUAACAGCAACAAAAAUAAGGUGAGUGUGUUUUACAAGUCAACUCCUAGUGCUCAGAUCAUCUUACCAAGUGUUGCAGGUGGAGGGGUUCCGGGUGGCCCCAGGGCCACCAAGGUUCAGGAGGUGGAUGUGCCUAAUAGUCCAUGGGGGUGGGGCAUGCAGAAUCAUCCAGUUAACGGAGGAAGUCCCCAGGAUCCAGACUGCCCUGCAGAACAGAAGUGACAGCCACAUACAUAUGCCAGACAAGAGAACCAAUACCAACAGCAGCUGUAACCCAGAGAAGAGUGUGUCAGCACCUGCCACCUUCUCUGCCACCAGGAUCCAAGAGAGUAGCAUCAGUACCUGAAAACUCUGUCCCUGCCACUGGAUAGCACCUACAGCUUGGGGUAGUAGAUGCAAGAGGUUAACCUACUGCCACCACACAUCACUGCCCACGUCUGUGGAAGAAAAUGGCAAUGGUCCUGUCCUAACGGGUUAACAGAAGUAAUUACAGAUUAAUGAAGUAGCAUUCUCCAGACAGGCGGCCAUUGAUGUCCAGGUUCACCCUGCAUCCCUCCUCUACGCCAACUCCAGAUGCUCUGCUUUUGCUAUAUUAAGAACACACAAAAAAUGAGUGGGAAUACACGGCUCAUAUUCUGCUCAUGGAAUCACAGCCACUCCUGGCAAAACGUUCUGCAGCCGGACCCUCUCUAUGCCUCCUCUGCUCUUCUCCCUGAGAAAGGAGUCUUCCCUCUUGAAGUGUUGUCAAAGGCCUCUGAGACCUCUGGGGAGUGGAGGAUGCCUCGAAUCCUGCAGGGGAAUGAGAGUCUUCUGUGAAGAACGAGUUACUUGUGGUGAAUGUCUACAAAGCUCAGAUGUGUUCAUCUUAAUUCAUAGGGAAUUCUGACUUUAAGCAUACUACAGGACACAGAGUAAUUAUGUGCAACAGAAAAAAAGAAGGAGAAAUUCACAUAACAGAUUUCAUGCAAGUGUUUUGGUACAAAACUCCUGGUAUGCGUCAUGAAACUGUAUGAGCUCUAACAGUGACUGGGGACACAACCAAAAACUGCUCAUAGAAACACAAUUGAAGGACACAGUGUUCAAACUAUUUUUACCUAAGGUAUAGGUGGAGAAUUCCAGGCAAGUCAUUUACCAACAAAGACAGGAAGGUGAUGACUGAUGACACUGGCUUUAUCUAGGACCACUCUAAAUGGCACAGGGCACAAAAUAUAAAGUUGGAGUCAUGAUGUCGUUUCUAACAGGUUCAUCUCCUAGCCAGAAUCAAGAAAGAAAGACACAGCAACCACACUCUUCCCACAGAGGUGAGGUCUGGAAGGGGUCACCCAGGCCAGGAGACUUCUGUUUGGAGUGUGCAGUCAUCCUCCUCUCGUUAUUUCUUGAAACUCACGGAAAAACCUUAAGGUACUCAGUCUCUAAGCGCUUUUGGCUUCUAAACUUACCACAGAAAGCUGACAGACUAAAAAUUGAGAAGCCUGUGGGCUCCUGGGUUAUGGGUAUGCGUUUUGAAAACAAAGAAGAAAUAGACAUAUCACACAACACGCAAAACAAGACAAGGCUAGGUGAGCGUGCUGUACAUAAAGAUGAGGGUUUCCCAAAAGAGUUACAACUGAGAAUGGCUCCGGCAUUUACCUUGCCUUUGUCUGCAUUCUUGGUACAGCCAGAGCCGCUGUAACUCACAGAGGUUUCAGCAGUUUCUCGAUUUACUAAAGGCCCUAGAAGGGACAGAGGUUUAUUCUGCUUUCAGGGGACUGGACAUAAUGAAAACAAUCCCUCAACUCAUUCCUCAAAUAUCUUAAACUUUUCCCUACAGUCAGGUCCCUGACCAGAGGCAGACGGUAUCCCACAUGCCUCAGGUGACCCCCAAGGAUAAGGGAGAGAACCAUCCCCUCACCUUGAUAAAGACCUCACGGUGCUCUAGUUCAUGUUGUUUCAUAAUUAAUCACAUAACUGUGGACAGGCCAGGCACAACUAGCAAUUUAGAAUUUAUCAGUAAAACAGUUUUCUCAGUAUACAUCAUGGGAAAUCACAAUUUUAUUACAGAUAAAGAAUUAAUAUGAGGAUGCUUGGAUUCAGCAUCUGACUCUUAAUUUUGGCUCAGGUCACGAUCUCACAGCUUGUGAAUUCAAGCCCAGCGUUGGGUUCCUCACUGACAGUGUGGAACCUGCUUGGCAUUCUGUCUCUUCCUCUCUCAAAAUAAAUAAACUUAAAAAAAAAAGAUUAACAUUGAGAACACUGGUUUGGUGUAUAUCCUCAAUGAGCCCUCAAGAAGCGUGCAUUUCUUCAGACUUCAGGCAAAUUGUUCAAUCUCUCAGCUUAUCUACAAGCUGCCUUCCACAUGAGAGCAAUUAGUAUAUAACUAAAGACUAAUUUUACACUAUAGAGAAAAGGAAAACUGUGAGAAGUUAGCAGCGAAGCUGCAGAGUUAUACUGAUACCAUCAGAGGACUAAGCUAAGCUUUAUGGAACUUGAGUGGACGGAUGUAGGGCUACAGUUCCCAAAAACAAACAAAAAUAAAGACCAUUAAAACUAGUGAAUAAAUGACCUUCUCCUCAAAUAAACUAAAGUCUUCACAUUGAGUCUGGGUGGGAAGAAGGAUGAGGCCCAUAUCCUGUCAUCCUUUCCAGGCUCUUUAGACAGGGGGAUGCUAGAGGAGGUGGGAGGGUCACUGGUAGAGGAGGGGCAUGAGCUCCACCAGUCUCAGGGACAAGUGCCUCACUGUCUGCGGCAGCAGAGGAGAACACCCUUCUGUCACCCCUUCAGACCACCUGCUGUCCUUAGUGCUUGUGAUUCUUUCCAGACCACACAAUGAUCAUCCACAGGAACAAGCUGCACAGCAGAAGUUAGAUUGCGGCACAUCACAACAUGCCUCUUACCUCUCCUCGGAGGGUUCUGCUUCUCUGGUCUUGCAGCCAUUGGUUUCUGCCUCGUGUAUCCCUCAGGCAGCCUCUUUGCUUUCAUCCCGUCCAGUCUUGGAUACAGAAAAAUAAUGGACUUCUAUAAGAGUUGCAACACCACGUCGUCUACUAGACAACUAACAGUGCAGGUGUCAUCCCUGGAAACACCCAUCAAAACGCAAGUCAAAUGACCACACCUGUAUUUCAAGGUUGCAAAGACGAGGGCCAUGAAAUGGCACUACCACGUUGAUGGGUAUGAUUCAUUGUACGACACACUGCUUUCCUACAGAUGACGACAAUUGACACCACCCCCGAGGAAUGUUAGCAUGGACAAAGUUUCCACACAGUCUGGUCACUACUUGAGAUCUGCAAAUGUUUAGAAACUUUAUUUUAUUCUUUCUAAAACUUACCUUUUUUAUCUGUUAAUACUCUAUGCAUAUGUUGACUUUAAACUUUUCAAAAAGAUUAAAAACCAAAAAAUGAA